UCCUACAAAACCUAUUGUACCAAUUGAAUCUCCACCACCACCUUCUUCCAAAUCUUCGGGGUCCCAUUUUAAGCGCUCUCCGCCGCCACCUCAAUCAACUCCUCCGCCAUCACCACCACCACCACCACCUGUUUAUAGCAGUUCCCCGUCGCAUCAACAUAGAAGUCCACCACCUCCUACCCACAAAAUUUCACCUGUAACUCGUCACGCUCCACCUCCUCCACCUCCACCAAGUCCGGUAUAUUAUCACCACCCAUCACCACCACCUCCACAACCAGUAUAUUACGCGCCACCAACAUAUAAACCUCAAUCACCACCACCACCUCCACCACCAGUACAUUACGAGCCACCAACGUACACACCUCAAUCACCACCACCACCUCCACCAGUACAUUACGAGCCACCACCAUACACACCUCAAUCACCACCACCUCCACCAGUACAUUACGAACCACCAACGUACACACCUCAAUCGCCACCACCACCAGUAUAUGUGACACCGUCUUCACCACCACCACCAGUAUAUGAGCAUCCAAAACCUCCAAC
rnacentral:lncRNA from 1 species